rnacentral:rRNA from 1 species
ACCAGACUCCUACGGGAGGCAGCAGUGAGGGAUAUUGGGCAAUGGGGGAAACCCUGACCCAGCGACGCCGCGUGAGGGAAGACGGUCUUCGGAUUGUAAACCUCUGUCUUUGGGGACGAAAAAGGACGGUACCCAAGGAGGAAGCUCCGGCUAACUACGUGCCAGCAGCCGCGGUAAUACGUAGGGAGCGAGCGUUGUCCGGAAUUACUGGGUGUAAAGGGAGCGCAGGCGGAUUGACAAGUUGGGAGUGAAAACUACGGGCUCAACCCGUAACCUGCUUUCAAAACUGUCAGUCUUGAGUGGUGUAGAGGUAGGCGGAAUUCCCGGUGUAGCGGUGGAAUGCGUAGAUAUCGGGAGGAACACCAGUGGCGAAGGCGGCCUACUGGGCACUAACUGACGCUGAGGCUCGAAAGCAUGGGUAGCAAACAGGAUUAGAUACCCGUGUAA